rnacentral:rRNA from 1 species
AACGAACGCUGGCGGCAUGCCUAACACAUGCAAGUCGAACGAGACCUUCGGGUCUAGUGGCGCACGGGGGCGUAACGCGUGGGAACCUGCCCUUAGGUUCGGAAUAACUCCCCGAAAGGGGUGCUAAUACCGGAUAAUGUCUUCGGACCAAAGAUUUAUCGCCUUUGGAUGGGCCCGCGUUGGAUUAGCUAGUUGGUAGGGUAAAAGCCUACCAAGGCGACGAUGCAUAGCUGGUCUGAGAGGAUGAUCAGCCACACUGGGACUGAGACACGGCCCAGACUCCUACGGGAGGCAGCAGUGGGGAAUAUUGGACAAUGGGCGAAAGCCUGAUCCAGCAAUGCCGCGUGAGUGAUGAAGGCCUUAGGGUUGUAAAGCUCUUUUACCCGGGAUGAUAAUGACAGUACCGGGAGAAUAAGCUCCGGCUAACUCCGUG